CAUAGAUGUCUCAUGCUUUUAACGUUUUCUCGCAAGUACUUGAAGCAGUACUUAGUUUCUAUAUAAAGGGGUUCAAAGAAGAGUGUAGUAUUGGGUCCGAUGUGCCUGGGAGAAUAUUUGAGCAUGGUUCUAUAAUUUAAAAGUUUCCAUUAAUUUGAACAACAGUUCGAAUUAAUCAUCCUCUUAGCCCUAGAAUCAUCUAGUACGUCGAGUACUGAAGAAAGGAUACGUUAAUGGAGAUGUUUUUCCUAUUAUCCAAUAGGAUGUUAAGUUGACAAGGAAUGCUACUAUGCCUGAUAAUAUCACCAUGAUCUAGGUUCCAAGAAUGGCACAACGAAGAAUAACAUAACAGCAGAUAAAGGUGCUUGAUAAUAUAACAACUGCAUUGGAUCCAUUUGAAAUUCUC